GCCAGGCAUAGUGGCGAGUACCUGUAAUCCCAGCUACAUGGGAGGCUGAGGCAGGAGAAUCACUUGAACCCGGGAGGUGGAGGUCGCAGUGGGCCGAGAUUGUGCCACUGCACUCCAGCCUGGGUGACAGAGUGAGACUCUGUCUCAA
rnacentral:SRP_RNA from 1 species